AGCAAGUCUUAAACACAAAAUCUCUAUGCUGCUGUUUUUCAUUUGCCAGUGUGGGCCAUAUAAUCCACAGAUGCCAGAAGCGAGCCCUAAAUGGCCUCGGUCCAGUAUACCUGAAGGAGCGUCUCCACCUCCAUCAUUUUGCCCGGACACUGAGGUCCAGCACUGAGGGCCUUCUGGCGGUUCCCUCGUUGUGAGAAGCCAAGUUGCAGGGAACUAGGCAGAGGGCCUUCUCGGUGGUGGCACCUGCCCUGUGGAACGCCCUCCCAACAGAUGUCAAAGAGGAAAACAACUACCAGACUUUUAGAAGACAUCUGAAGGCAGCCCUGUUCAGGGAGGCU